rnacentral:tRNA from 1 species
AGGGGUGUAGCUCAGUUGGUUAGAGCGUCGGUCUCCAAAACCGAAGGCCGUCGGUUCGAGUCCGACCUCCCCUGCCA